UACGAAGGGGGCUAGCGUUGCUCGGAAUUACUGGGCGUAAAGCGCACGUAGGCGGCUUAGCAAGUCGGAUGUGAAAUCCCUCGGCUCAACCAAGGAAGUGCAUCCGAAACUGCUGAGCUUGAGUACUUAAGAGGAUCGCGGAAUUCCCGGUGUAGAGGUGAAAUUCGUAGAUAUCGGGAGGAACACCAGUGGCGAAGGCGGCUCACUGGUCCAUUACUGACGCUGAGGUGCGAAAGCGUGGGGAGCAAACAGG
rnacentral:rRNA from 1 species